GAGGGUAUAGCUUAGUAGAGUGUGUGCCUAGCAUGCAUGAGGUCCUGGGUUCAAUCCCCUGUACCUCUA
rnacentral:tRNA from 1 species